ACGGGUGAGUAAUACAUCGGAACGUGUCCGCUCGUGGGGGACAACCAGCCGAAAGGUUGGCUAAUACCGCAUGAGUUCUACGGAAGAAAGAGGGGGACCCGCAAGGGCCUCUCGCGAGCGGAGCGGCCGAUGACUGAUUAGCCUGUUGGUGAGGUAACGGCUCACCAAAGCAACGAUCAGUAGCUGGUCUGAGAGGACGACCAGCCACACUGGGACUGAGACACGGCCCAGACUCCUACGGGAGGCAGCAGUGGGGAAUUUUGGACAAUGGGCGCAAGCCUGAUCCAGCUAUUCCGCGUGUGGGAUGAAGGCCCUCGGGUUGUAAACCACUUUUGUAGAGAACGAAAAGACACCUUUUAAAAAAGGGUGUUGCUGACGGUACUCUAAGAAUAAGCACCGGCUAACUACGUGCCAGCAGCCGCGGUAAUACGUAGGGUGCGAGCGUUAAUCGGAAUUACUGGGCGUAAAGGGUGCGCAGGCGGUUGAGUAAGACAGAUGUGAAAUCCCCGAGCUUAACUCGGGAAUGGCAUAUGUGACUGCUCGACUAGAGUGUGUCAGAGGGAGGUGGAAUUCCACGUGUAGCAGUGAAAUGCGUAGAUAUGUGGAAGAACACCGAUGGCGAAGGCAGCCUCCUGGGACAUAACUGACGCUCAGGCACGAAAGCGUGGGGAGCAGACAGGAUUAGAUACCCUGGUAGUCCACGCCCUAAA
rnacentral:rRNA from 1 species